UUGACAAAUAGGCAUACAGUAAGAUGUGGACUUGAGAUAGAGGCUGGGUUGGAUACUUUAUAUAAUCUUGAAUGUUGUAAUGAUUGACUGCUAAACAUUACAUUUAUGAUAUUCUGAUAUGCUUUCAAUAUGUUAUCAAAACAGUUUUUAACAGGUUCUAGGUAUUUUUUAUCAGAAAAUAUGCAAAUAGGGUAAGCUGGC
rnacentral:lncRNA from 1 species